rnacentral:rRNA from 1 species
CAUCAUACUGACACUGAGGCUCGAAAGCGUGGGUAGCAAACAGGAUUAGAUACCCUGGUAGUCCACGCCGUAAACGAUGUCUACUAGUCGUUGGGUCCCUUGAGGACUUAGUGACGCAGCUAACGCAAUAAGUAGACCGCCUGGGGAGUACGGCCGCAAGGUUAAAACUCAAAUGAAUUGACGGGGGCCCGCACAAGCGGUGGAGCAUGUGGUUUAAUUCGAUGCAACGCGAAGAACCUUACCUGGUCUUGACAUAUCUAGAAUCCUGCAGAGAUGCGGGAGUGCCUUCGGGAAUUAGAAUACAGGUGCUGCAUGGCUGUCGUCAGCUCGUGUCGUGAGAUGUUGGGUUAAGUCCCGCAACGAGCGCAACCCUUUUCCUUAGUUACCAGCGGGUUAUGCCGGGAACUCUAAGGAUACUGCCAGUGACAAACUGGAGGAAGGCGGGGACGACGUCAAGUCAUCAUGGCCCUUACGACCAGGGCUACACACGUGCUACAAUGGUAGGUACAGAGGGCAGCUACACAGCGAUGUGAUGCGAAUCUCAAAAAGCCUAUCGUAGUCCAGAUUGGAGUCUGCAACUCGACUCCAUGAAGUAGGAAUCGCUAGUAAUCGCGGAUCAGAAUGCCGCGGUGAAUACGUUCCCGGGCCUUGUACACACCGCCCGUCACACCAUGGGAGUUGAUUGCACCAGAAGUGGAUAGCUUAACCUUCGGGGAGG